AAUUUUUUUUUUUUUAACUUUUCUCUUGCCCAUAGUAGGGUUUUGUAAAUUUCGUUUGCAAAAUUUUUCCGUUCUUUCUCAUCGGCUGGACUGAAGGAAAAAAAUUAUGCAGAAUCUUGGGGGAGAUAUUACUAAUUUGGCAGUGAGUGCAAACAAUGUCUUCGUGACAUCAGAAUCAAAUGAUUGCAUCAUUCAAAUUUGACGAUUCCCAGAUGACCUAGCAAUAUCUGUUUUACAAGGUCAUACAUGACCUAGCAAUAUCUGUUUUACGAGGUCAUACAGGAGCUGUUACUGCAAUUUCUUUCAGUCCUUGGAUGGGUUGUGAAUAUCAUCUCUUAUCGUAAGUGUCUUGUUAUAAUUUGUUAAGUCGAUGAUGUAAUUUCUUUGCUAUUCAACAUAGCACAAUACAACUGUGAUAUGAUUUUCUUUAA